AACGAACGCUGGCGGCAGGCCUAACACAUGCAAGUCGAGCGAGAUCUUCGGGGCUAGCGGCGGAUGGGUGAGUAACGCGUGGGAAUAUGCCUCUUGGUAUGGAAUAGCUUCGGGAAACUGGGAGUAAUACCGUACGUGCCCUUUGGGGGAAAGAUUUAUCGCCAAGGAAUUUGCCCGCGUUGGAUUAGGUAGUUGGGAGGGUUAUGGCCUACCAAGCCGACGAUCCAUAGCUGGUUUGAGAGGCUGGUCAGCCACACUGGGACUAAGACACGGCCCAGACUCCUACGGGAGGCAGCAGUGGGGAAUCUUAGACAGUGGGGGCAACCCUGAACUAGCCAUGACGGGUGAAUGAUGGAGGCCUUAGGGUUGUAAAGCUCUUUCAGCUGGGAAGAUAAUGACGGUACCAGAAGAAGAAGCCCCGGCUAACUUCGUG
rnacentral:rRNA from 1 species